GCUCGAUAAUGGAAGUAUUAAAGGUAUGCUUGUCUCUUCACCUCUCACACACGCAUUAUGUAUUGGUAUUAGAUCACAUUGGCUCAGGACAAGCAUUAUUUAUGUUAAUUACCUUUUGAAGGUCAUAAUUGUAAUGAAUUCUAUUCUCUUCUUAUUAGGCAAACGUGUUUUUAUUUUUAUUUUUUUUAGAAGGGGCAAACGUGUUUGUUUGUUUAUAA
rnacentral:misc_RNA from 1 species